CAGGGGGUACUGGUACAGAGUCAAUGUGGAGGCUAUAUACAGGGGGUACUGGUACAGAGUCAAUGUGGAGGCUAUAUACAGGGGGUACCGGUACAGAGUCAAUGUGGAGGCUAUAUACAGGGGUACUGGUACAGAGUCAAUGUGGAGGCUAUAUACAGGGGGUACUGGUACAGAGUCAAUGUGGAGGCUAUAUACAGGAGGUACCGGUACAGAGUCAAUGUGGAAGCUAUAUACAGGGGGUACUGGUACAGAGUCAAUGUGGAGGCUAUAUACAGGGGUACCGGUACAGAGUCAAUGUGGAGGCUAUAUACAGGGGUACCGGUACAGAGUCAAUGUGGAGGCUAUAUACAGGGGGUACCUGUACAGAGUCAAUGUGGAGGCUCUAUACAGAGGUACUGGUACAGAGUCAAUGUGGAGGCUAUAUACAGGGGUACCGGUACAGAGUCAAUGUGGAGGCUAUAUAAGUAAUAUGUACAUGUAGGUGGAGUUGUUAAAGUGACUAUGCAUAGAUAAUAACAGAGUAGCAGCAGCAUAGAAGAGGGGGGGGGAGACAAUGCAAAUAGUCUGUAAAGCCAUUUGAUAAAAUUUUCAGGAGUCUUAUGUCUUGGGGGUAGAAGCUGU
rnacentral:lncRNA from 1 species